CCUGGCGGCGUGCCUAAUACAUGCAAGUCGAGCGGACAGAUGGGAGCUUGCUCCCUGAUGUUAGCGGCGGACGGGUGAGUAACACGUGGGUAACCUGCCUGUAAGACUGGGAUAACUCCGGGAAACCGGGGCUAAUACCGGAUGGUUGUUUGAACCGCAUGGUUCAGACAUAAAAGGUGGCUUCGGCUACCACUUACAGAUGGACCCGCGGCGCAUUAGCUAGUUGGUGAGGUAACGGCUCACCAAGGCGACGAUGCGUAGCCGACCUGAGAGGGUGAUCGGCCACACUGGGACUGAGACACGGCCCAGACUCCUACGGGAGGCAGCAGUAGGGAAUCUUCCGCAAUGGACGAAAGUCUGACGGAGCAACGCCGCGUGAGUGAUGAAGGUUUUCCCAUCCUAAAGCUCGGGUGGGAGGGAAGAACAACUCCCCUUCAAAUAGGGCCGCACCGGGACGGGACCCAACCAAAAAGCCACGGCUAACUACGUGCCACCAGCCGCGGUAAUACGUAGGGGGCAAGAGUUGUCCAGAAUUAUUGCGCGUAAAGGGCUCGCAGGCGGUUUCUUAAGUCUGAUGUGAAAGCCCCCGGCUCAACCGGGGAGGGUCAUUGGAAACUGGGGAACUUGAGUGCAGAAGAGGAGAGUCGAAUUCCACGUGUAGCGGUGAAAUGCAUAGAGAUGUGAAGGAACACCACUGGCGAAGGCGACUCUCUGGUCUGUAACUGACGCUGAGGAGCGAAAGCGUGGGGAGCGAACAGGAUUACAUACCCUGGUAGUCCACGCCGUAAACGAUGACUGCUAAGUGUUAAGGGGUUUCCGCCCCUUAGGGCUGCAGCUAACGCAUUAACCACUCCGCCUCCGGAGUACGGGCGCAAGACUGAAACUCAAAGGAAAAGACGGGGGCCAGCACAAGAGGAGGAGCAGGUGGGAAAAACCGAAGCAACGCGAAGAACCUUACCAGGUCUUGACAUCCUCUGACAAUCCUAGAGAUAGGACGUCCCCCUCGGGGGGCAAAUUGACAGGGGGUGCAUGGUUGUCCCCAACUCGGGGAGUGAAAUGUGGGGAAAACUCCCGCAACCAGCCCAACCCUUGAUCUUAGUUGCCAGCAUUCA
rnacentral:rRNA from 1 species